rnacentral:tRNA from 1 species
CAGAACAUAGUUUAACCAGCCAAAACACCCUGCUUACGACAGGGCAUUGCCCGUGCAACUCGAGCUGAUCUGG